AACGAACGCUGGCGGCAGGCUAAACACAUGCAAGCCGAACGCCCCGCAAGGGGAGUGGCAGACGGGUGAGUAACGCGUGGGAAUCUACCGUACCCUACGGAAUAACGCAUGGAAACGUGUGCUAAUACCGUAUACGCCCUACGGGGGAAAGAUUUAUCGGGGUAUGAUGAGCCCGCGUUGGAUUAGCUAGUUGGUGGGGU
rnacentral:rRNA from 1 species